AGUAAUGUCUGGGAAACUGCCUGAUGGAGGGGGGAGUAACUACUGGAAACGGUAGCUAAUACCGCAUAACGUCGCAAGACCAAAGAGGGGGACCUUCGGGCCUCUUGCCAUCGGAUGUGCCCAGAUGGGAUUAGCUAGUAGGUGGGGUAACGGGCUCACCUAGGCGACGAUCCCUAGCUGGUCUGAGAGGAUGACCAGCCACACUGGAACUGAGACACGGCCCAGACUCCUACGGGAGGCAGCAUG
rnacentral:rRNA from 1 species